rnacentral:rRNA from 1 species
AUUGAACGCUGGCGGCAGGCCUAACACAUGCAAGUCGAGCGGUAGAGAGAAGCUUGCUUCUCUUGAGAGCGGCGGACGGGUGAGUAAUGCCUAGGAAUCUGCCUGGUAGUGGGGGAUAACGUUCGGAAACGGACGCUAAUACCGCAUACGUCCUACGGGAGAAAGCAGGGGACCUUCGGGCCUUGCGCUAUCAGAUGAGCCUAGGUCGGAUUAGCUGGUUGGGGGGGUAAUGGCUCACCAAGGGGACGAUCCGUAACUGGUCUGAGAGGAUGAGCAGUCACACUGGAACUGAGACACGGGCCAGAGUCCUACGGGAGGCAGCAGUGGGGAAUAUUGGACGAUGGGCGAAAGCCUGAUCCAGCCAUGCGGCGUGUGUGAAGAAGGUCUUCGGAUUGUAAAGCACUUUAAGUUGGGAGGAAGGGCAGUAAAUUAAUACUUUGCUGUUUUGACGUUACCGACAGAAUAAGCACCGGCUAACUCUGUGCCAGCCGCCGCGGUAA